rnacentral:misc_RNA from 1 species
CGCACCUUGCGCUCCUUGGUAUUCCGAGGAGCAUGCCUGUUUGAGUGUCAUGUAUACCUCAGCAAUCCUCUGAUUUUUGUCAGUGGGAAAGCUGGACUUGGAGGCUGCUGGUCUUUCUGAGAUCAGCUCCUCUUAAAAGUAUCAGUGUGGAUGCUAUCAAGCAUUUCUCUGAUGUAAUAAUUCUUUGCAUCGUUGAAGCUUGGUAUAUAAAAUCAUCCAUGCUUACAAUCGUCCUUGCGGACAAUACUCUUUGCAUUUGACCUCAAAUCAGGUAGGAUUACCCGCUGAACUUAA